rnacentral:misc_RNA from 1 species
AAAAAAAAAAAAAAAGCAUUAGAAAGGAAAAACCAAAAAGAAAACCAAGAAAAAGAAGCAAGAAGAUUCUGAAUACCAAAUUAACCACAGCCAUAGUUUACAUCUGGCUUUGCAGCCAAUGAUUCAAAAGGAAUUGCAACCCUUUCUUUCACAACGCAUCGAGCUUCCUCACCUUCCAUAACAAGUACUCUUCCGGGUGGACAUUCAAUGUGUCUCUUUUCUUUAGCUGUUGGCUGCUGAAACAAGCCCACAAACUUAAAAGGUAUACUUCUUUUCCCAAGACUAGGUCCAACACCAGACAGGCUUAACACUGAUAUCACACCAACAAAAGUAAUCACUGUCUUAGCUGCUGCACCAACGAAAUGUCUCAACCCCCUGCUUGAAUUUUCGGACACAGUCUCUGCCUUAUUUCUCUCCAACUCAUUCAGAUUAUUCUUUGCUUCACCAGUGAUUACCCCAUUCCGCAUAGACUUGCGUGUCGAAGGAAAGUGUGGCAGAUAGUGAUUGUCAACAACAAGGGACUGUGGAGGAUGGCUUGGAUAAGGUGGAAGUAAAAGGUCAUUGUUAUGCUCCACUGUUUCACCAGCAAAAGCAGAAGCUUCCUGUAUUACUUCCAACUCUUCCCCUUCGUACUCCUUUAGCUUAUCCAAUAACAUCUUGCGGCUCUGCUCAAUCUCGCUGAGGGCAACUUCUUUCUCAUAACGUUGCUGUUGCUGCAAAUCCUGCAAGUUGGAGAGCUGGUGCUCAAGGGAUUCAAGAGCAUCGCGGAUUAUAAAAAGCCUCUCAGUCUCUUCAUCUUCUUUGUCUGCUUCACUCAGUGACCCCCCAUUAAGAGACUGAGAAUUAGGGUUCUUUUCCUUCUCUCCCUUCACAAUCACACCCUCUUCAACACAUUCUUUUUCUUGUUUGUUUUGCUUAGAAGAAAUAGAGUUGCCACUGGUAUUGUUGAUGCUGGUGCUUGGUUUGUGGAUGCAAUUGCUGAUCUUCAACCUCAACUCUAUGGCUCUAGCCAAUACCACCUCCACUCCCUCUUCUUCCAUUGCUGUUCUCUCUCCUUCUCUUCCCUCGCUAUCCUUCUACGUGGGUAUCGCAUACACUAGAAAAAGAAAUGUACUUUGGACUUGGUGGUGAUUGUAUUUUGAUGGGUUUUGAGAUCAAAGUUUGUUUGUCUGUAUCAUGUAGCAGAACCGCGAACAGGGACGUUCUGGGGUUUGGGCUUUUUAUGCCAUUUUUAAGUGAUUGUGGUGCACUCUCAGCAGAUAGAUCUCUCACUGUUUCUGUUGUUUUUGGCAAAACUAACUUUCUUUCCCCUCCCCCGAAUCAAAGCCUUUGAACUUUCCUUUGCUACAGUAAGAG